UACAGAGGUCUCAAGCGUUGUUCGGAUUCAUUGGGCGUAAAGGGUGCGUAGGUGGCGCCGUAAGUCGGGUGUGAAAUUUCGGAGCUUAACUCCGAAACUGCAUUCGAUACUGCCGUGCUUGAGGACUGGAGAGGAGACUGGAAUUUACGGUGUAGCGGUGAAAUGCGUAGAUAUCGUAAGGAAGACCAGUGGCGAAGGCGGGUCUCUGGACAGUUCCUGACGCUGAGGCACGAAGGUCAGGGGAGGCAAACGGGG
rnacentral:rRNA from 1 species